rnacentral:rRNA from 1 species
AUUGAACGCUGGCGGCAGGCCUAACACAUGCAAGUCGAGCGAGAGGCGGACGGGUGUGUAAUGUUUGGGGGUCUGCUCGAGGGAGGGGGAUAACUACUGGAAAUGGUAGCUUAUACCGUAUACCAUCAUAUGUACCCAUAUGGGAUUAGCUGGUAGGUAAGGUAACGGCUGACCUAGGAGACGAUCCCUCGCUGGUCUGAGAGUUUGAUCAGCCACAAUGGGACUUGGACACGGCCCAGACUCCUACGGGAGGCAGCAGUGGGGAAUAUUGCACAAUGGGCGCAAGCCUGAAGCAGCCAUGCCGCGUGUAUGAAUAAGGCCUUCGGGUUGUAAAGUACUUUCAGUCGGGAGGCGUUACCGACAGAAGAAGCACCGGCUAACUCCGUGCCAGCAGCCGCGGUAAUUC